rnacentral:rRNA from 1 species
UCGCAUAAGCCCACGGGUCGGCAUCGACCAGAGGGAAAAGGAGCAAUCCGCUUUGAGAUGGCCUCGCGUCCGAUUAGCUAGUUGGUGAGGUAACGGCCCACCAAGGCGACGAUCGGUAGCCGGACUGAGAGGUUGAACGGCCACAUUGGGACUGAGACACGGCCCAGACUCCUACGGGAGGCAGCAGUGGGGAAUAUUGCACAAUGGGGGAAACCCUGAUGCAGCGACGCCGCGUGGAGGAAGAAGGUCUUCGGAUCGUAAACUCCUGUUGUUGAGGAAGAUAAUGACGGUACUCAACAAGGAAGUGACGGCUAACUACGUGCCAGCAGCCGCGGUAAAACGUAGGUCACAAGCGUUGUCCGGAAUUACUGGGUGUAAAGGGAGCGCAGGCGGGAAGACAAGUUGGAAGUGAAAUCCAUGGGCUUAACCCAUGAACUGCUUUCAAAACUGUUUUUCUUGAGUAGUGCAGAGGUAGGCGGAAUUCCCGGUGUAGCGGUGGAAUGCGUAGAUAUCGGGAGGAACACCAGUGGCGAAGGCGGCCUACUGGGCACCAACUGACGCUGAGGCUCGAAAGUGUGGGUAGCAAACAGGAUUAGAUACCCUGGUAGUCCACACCGUAAACGAUGAUUACUAGGUGUUGGAGGAUUGACCCCUUCAGUGCCGCAGUUAACACAAUAAGUAAUCCACCUGGGGAGUACGACCGCAAGGUUGAAACUCAAAGGAAUUGACGGGGGCCCGCACAAGCAGUGGAGUAUGUGGUUUAAUUCGACGCAACGCGAAGAACCUUACCAAGUCUUGACAUCCUGUGACAGACGUAGAAAUACGUUCUUCCUUCGGGACACAGAGACAGGUGGUGCAUGGUUGUCGUCAGCUCGUGUCGUGAGAUGUUGGGUUAAGUCCCGCAACGAGCGCAACCCUUAUGGUCAGUUACUACGCAAGAGGACUCUGGCCAGACUGCCGUUGACAAAACGGAGGAAGGUGGGGAUGACGUCAAAUCAUCAUGCCCUUUAUGACUUGGGCUACACACGUACUACAAUGGCGUUAAACAAAGAGAAGCAAGACCGCGAGGUGGAGCAAAACUCAGAAACAACGUCCCAGUUCGGACUGCAGGCUGCAACUCGCCUGCACGAAGUCGGAAUUGCUAGUAAUCGUGGAUCAGCAUGCCACGGUGAAUACGUUCCCGGGCCUUGUACACACCGCCCGUCACACCAUGAGAGCCGGGGGGACCCGAAGUCGGUAGUCUAACCGCAAGGAGGACGCCGCCGAAGGUAAAACUGGUGAUUGGGGUGAAGUCGUAACAAGGU